rnacentral:rRNA from 1 species
GACGAACCGUGCGAACGUUGUUCGGAAUCAUCUGGGUCGUUAAAGGGCGCGUGAGGCGGCCGGGUUGGUCGUGGGUGAAAUCCCCCCAGGCUUAACUCGGGGGAAUUGCCUACGAUACUGCCUGGCUCGGAGGGAGGAAGGGGCGGCCGGAACUGUCGGUGGAGCGGGUGAAAUGCGUUGAUAAUCGAUAGGAACUCCGGUGGCGAAGGCGGCAUAACUGGACCACUUCUGGACGCUGAGGCGCCGAAAGCCAGGGGAGCAAACGGGA